AGUUUAGUCUGCCCAGUGAUGAGGAUUUAACGGCCGCAGUACUUUGACUGUGCUAAGGUAGCAAAAUAAAUAGGCUUUUAAUUGAGGUCGAGUAUGAAUGGCAUUAUGGGUGGAAACUGUCUCAGUUUACUUUUACCAAAGAACUUAAUAAAUAGGUGAAAAUACCUAUAUAAUAAAUAAUAGACGAGAAGACCCUUAGAGUUUUUAAUAAGUAGCUGGUAGUGCAGUUGAAAUUUUUUAUUGGGGCGAUAAAGUAUCAAUUUAGAAGCAUACUUAACUUAAUUAAAGUUACAAGUCUUUAAUUUAAAUGUGAAUAUAACUACCUAAGGGAUAACAGCAUAAUUUUAUUAAUAAGAUUGUGACCUCGAUGUUGGAUUAGGGACUAAAUGUAUUAGUCAUACGC
rnacentral:rRNA from 1 species